AAAAUAAUAGAAAAAAUCAGUGACUACCAAGAAGAAUAGAAGUCAGUUGAAGGUGGCUGCAAACACCGGAACAAAGACAUUUGCCCAAAUACGAUAUGAAUGGGAACUUGCAAACGAAGGGAAAGAAAUAGAUCGCUGCACAUUCUGAAGAUUGAUUUACAACAAACCAAAGAAAGACGGUACUGGGACCGUGCCAAUUAAUGACGAAGCAGAAAAAAUCUUUUUGGAAUUGGAUAAGCUUGAGCAAAGGGAGCGCUUAAAUGGUAGGGAACUCACUAUAGACUUAUUGAAUGAAUUGUUUUGUGAGCAAUUUGGACCAGAGACAUAUAAUGCAGUUCGAGGGUAUGGACUGGGAGUAGAGUGGGUUGAUGUUCCUGGAAUACAAAAUGCAAAGCCAGCAGUUUUUGCGAUGCAGCAUCACUUCAGUCUGAACUUGAAGCCUCACUUGCUGAGAUCACGAGGUUGACAGAGGUAGCAGCCAAAAAGGAUGAGCAAUUGCAAGCUGUCCAAACUCAAUUGAAUAGCAUUGAAACUCGUAUUGGCAAUCCCAUGCAUAGUAUAAUAAGUGUUGGACCUGAUACCAUUAAGAAGCUAAUAGCAGCACUUUCUGAUAUCGCAGAAAAGCAACCUCAAUCGAUCCAAGAAAUGCAAUCAACUCCAAUGGAAGGGUAUGUGACUUUACUUGGACACUAGGAUGGAAACUGUAGGAAGUUUGUUUUGAAGCAUAUUGCUGGUAUCUAUGAUUCAUCUCAAAAUUAGUAUAUUUUGGGUCAUUUAAUUGACAUAUUAGAGAUGAACUAUAUAUAUUUUGGGUAAUGGCUUCUGCCAUAUUAGAUAUAGCAAUACUAGCUUGGGUUAGAGCGGAGAUGAACUAAUCAUGUAAUUAUUAUGGUCUGGGAGAACAAUGACCACUUUUGUAUAUUGCUCUUGGAUGAAUGAAAUCUGUGUAGGA